UACGUAGGGUGCAAGCGUUGUCCGGAAUACUGGGCGUAAAGAGCUCGUAGGUGGUUUGUCGCGUUGUUCGUGAAAACUCACAGCUCAACUGUGGGCGUGCGGGCGAUACGGGCAGACUUGAGUACUGCAGGGGAGACUGGAAUUCCUGGUGUAGCGGUGGAAUGCGCAGAUAUCGGGAGGAACACCCGUAGCGAAGGCGGCACUCUGGGCCGGUACUGACGCUGAGGAGCGAAAGCGUGGGGAGCAAACAGG
rnacentral:rRNA from 1 species